rnacentral:rRNA from 1 species
AGAACGAACGCUGGCGGCAUGCCUAACACAUGCAAGUCGAACGUGAUCCACGACUUCGGUUGUGGUGAAAGUGGCAAACGGGUGAGUAACGCGUGGGAAUCUGCCCAGAGGUAGGGAAUAACCGCGGGAAACUGCGGCUAAUACCCUAUGUGCCCUACGGGGCAAAGAUUUAUCGCCUUUGGAGGAGCCCGCGUCGGAUUAGGUAGUUGGUAGGGUAACGGCCUACCAAGCCUACGAUCCGUAGCUGGUCUGAGAGGAUGAUCAGCCACACUGGGACUGAGAUACGGCCCAGACUCCUACGGGAGGCAGCAGUGGGGAAUAUUGGACAAUGGGGGCAACCCUGAUCCAGCAACGCCGCGUGGAGGAUGAAGUCCCUUGGGAUGUAAACUCCUUUCGAUCGGGACGAUUAUGACGGUACCGGAAGAAGAAGCACCGGCUAACUCUGCGCCAGCAGCCGC